UUAAAAAAAAAAUCCCCUUUAUUUUGUCGCAAUUUGCAUUACAUACCUGUACAUGCUUCCAACAGAAGUUUAACACAAUAUUAUUUGAAUAUCAUCUGCUAUAAACACAGAAUAAACAAUCAAGUUCAAAUUGAACAAUGUGUUUAGAGACAUGGAUGAACGGGUUCAUUGAGUUGGGACAGAGUGAAAAUUGGCUUCUAAACUCAUCCUCCUUGAAGCAGAGCUUUUACACUUACAGAGUUAUUUACUAAAGUGAGAACUGCAGGGAAUCAAAAGUGAAUUUCAAAUUGAAGACCAUCAUACAAGUAUAUCUGGGGCCCAUUCAGACCAUUGUCUGGAAAUCUAUUCACAAAAGGCCUAUGCAUCAGAAAACAAGAUCACACCUUUAGACUGGAAGAAAGGAGAUUUUGUCUAAGGCAAAGAGAAGUUUUUUUUACAGUAAGAACAAUAAGGAUGUGGAAUUCUCUGCCUGAAGAAGUGGUUUUUAACAGAAUCUGUAUAGAUGUUUAAAUAGCUUCUGGAUGAAUACUUGUAAAACAUAGUAUUCAAGCAUAUAAUAUUUAAAUUGUGGGGUAAUAGUUCCUUUAACCCCUUAAGGACAGAGCUUCAGAAGCUUGUCUUUCACUUAAUGACAACAGCAUUUUUUUCAUUUUUUGCUGUUUGCUUUCAACUGCAAUUUGCAUUUUACUAAUUUAUUGCACCAACACAUAUUAUAUAUCGUGUUUUUAAAGGACAGAAAGGGCUUUAAUUUGACGUAAGACACACACACACACACACACAUAUAUAUAUAUAUAUAUACACUUAUUUAUUAUAUAAAAAUACAGAAAAAU